CCAAAUUGAAGCACCUUGAGUUUGGGCAGAAUUACAUCCACGGUACUCUGGGAAACGAAACUGGCCCUUUUAUGAAGCCACGGGAUAGCUCCAGAUAGGGGGCUAGCAUUACUCCUAGAUGAGGCCAAUCCAUGAAAAAAUUCUUAAAACUCUCCAACAAAUCUUCUACUUGGGAACAGACUCAACUUGUCACAUACAAAAAACAAACAAACAAGAAAAAAAAGUAAGACCCUUUCUUGAAGAUAUUGCACAUUUUGGUCACAGGACAUCAAAAAAUCAAGUUGAAAUUGAAAUACAUGUUUCUUCCUUAUGGGCUAGGGUAUGUAGUACUGGGAAGUACUAGGCAGACUCUUGGGAGAUAACUGCCAUCAAAAGUGCUACCCAGCAUGCUGUAUUCCUAAUCAGCUAGAGAAGUGCCCACUGGUGAAAUAGUGGCAAAUUAAUAACUUAUUUCUAAUCAGAUUUGAAAAUUCUCUGCAGGUGUGAAUCCAUAUCUGGUAAAAGCCCAUGACUGAGGAUGUCAGAGUUCAUAUUGGGGAAGCUACUGAUAAUGAACAUGAUAUGCCUAUCAUAUUAACUUCUAAAUAUUUCAUUUGUACCUUAGAUAUUAGUGCCCCUAUCACCAUUGGCUAGAGAAGCUUCCUUUUAUUGUGGAUAACAGCAACUAGAGACUCACAACUGGUCAAUCUGCCAAAAUGAGAUUCUUGAAUGCUCGGGAGUAAAUGUGACAUCCAUAUCAUUUCCCCUAACCUAAGGGAACAUCACGGAAUAGGAGCUGGAAAGGAUGCAAGAGCUAAAGCAG
rnacentral:lncRNA from 1 species